CUCACUCAUGCCCUCUCCCUCUAGUGUGGGAAAACAAGAGGAACCUCCAAAAUUUCCUAGCUGCACAAAGAAAUUGGUGGAAAUUCACUUCAUUUUGAAGCUCGGGGUUUCUAUGUGGUUGAUUUAAUCAAAAUAUUAAUGUGAUUUUUCUAGAAGAAGAAAAAGGGAAAAUAUAAAAAUCAUGCUGAUUGGAUUUGAAUAGAUUGUAUUGAUCAUAUAUGAAUAUUAUCUUUCAUCCAGAUUGGAAAGUACUGUUUUGAAAUCCAGUCCUUCACACUUCCAAACUGAUCAUUUUUAAUAAGUAAAUGUCAUUUUGGCUUUUUUUUUUUUUUUCUGGUCAGGAAGAAAAACAAGAAGUUUCCUUCCGCAAACUUCCUAAAAGGUGCCAUGUGUUUUCCUAAAACCAAGGAAAAUUCUAAAAUAGAACUACCAUAUGAUUCAGCAAUCCCACUUCUCUAAAUCUCCAGAAUCUCCAGGGAUUGGAACCAAGUGCUUUAUCUUUACCAUAUACCAAUCCAUGAAUCAACUCCAAAACAGAUCUCUAGAAACAGACAAGACUGACUACUGCCUGAAGGUUUCUGACACCAAGUUCCUGAGAGGAAUACAUUCUCUUCUCCUUUGGCUGCUUAAUCCCUUCUCAUGAAAAAUAACCUUGACCUUUGCAUUCUAGAUGUACCAAAUAUGAAAUAAUUUUAGAAUUCGAUCUCAAAUGGCCCUUUUGCAAACUCCAAAAUGUUGUAAUCUACCAAGACUAAGCAAAUGGCUGCUGAGAAGUUUUGCCAGG
rnacentral:lncRNA from 1 species